UACGUAGGGGGCUAGCGUUGUCCGGAAUCAUUGGGCGUAAAGAGCGUGUAGGCGGCCCGGUAAGUCCGCUGUGAAAGUCGGGGGGCUCAACCCUCGAAUGCCGGUGGAUACUGUCGGGCUAGAGUACGGAAGAGGCGAGUGGAAUUCCUGGUGUAGCGGUGAAAUGCGCAGAUAUCAGGAGGAACACCCAUUGCGAAGGCAGCUCGCUGGGACGUUACUGACGCUGAGACGCGAAAGCGUGGGGAGCAAACAGG
rnacentral:rRNA from 1 species